rnacentral:rRNA from 1 species
UACGUAGGAUGCAAGCGUUGUCCGGAAUCAUUGGGCGUAAAGCGCGUGUAGGCGGCUCGAUAAGUCUGCUGUGAAAGUUCAGGGCUCAACCCUGAAAUGCCGGUGGAAACUGUCGAGCUAGAGUCCGGAAGAGGCGAGUGGAAUUCCGGGUGUAGCGGUGGAAUGCGUAGAGAUCCGGAAGAACACCGGUGGCGAAGGCGGUGAGCUGGGCGAGUUGCUGGACACUGAGGCGCGACAGCGUGGGGAGCAAACAGGG